AUAACUUUGGUAUGCUUGGACCUAGAGUCUUGAAACUUGACAUGAAGGUUGGCCAGAACUAGUAAGUAACCACUGGACAUUUCAAGGUCAUUCAUUUGAAGGUCAAGGUCACUGUGACCUUGAAUGUAAAAAUGUUAAAGUUCUUAUUUCAUGUUAUAACUUUGGUAUGCUUGUACCUAGAGUCUUCAAACUUGAAAUAAAGAUUGGCCAGUACUAGAAGAUGACCACUGGUCAUUUCAAUGUCAUUCAUUUGAAGGUCAAGGUCACUGUGACCUUAAAUGUUAAAAUGUUAAAAUUGUUAUAACUUUGGUAUGCUUGGACAUAGAGUCUUCAAACUUGACAUGAAGGUUUGCAAGCACACUUAGAUGACCACUGGUCAUUUCAAGGUCAUUCAUUCUAAGGUCAAGGUCACUGUGACCUUGAAUGUAAAAAUGUCUGGAUUUCUGUGUAGGUAUGUGAAAGCAAAACAAUAAAUAGUAUUAUUUCAUCUAAGUUUAUUUUCUUACAUUUGAUAAUGAAAUUGAUGGAAACUUCAAACAAUAUGUUACUAAUUUGCUAAUAAAAAAAUUGAGAUCAAACUUU